UGGGGAAUAUUGCGCAAUGGGGGAAACCCUGACGCAGCAAUACCGCGUGAAUGAAGAAGGUCUUCGGAUCGUAAAGUUCUGUUAUUGGGGAAGAAAAAGACGGUACCCAAGGAGAAAGUUCCGGCUAACUACGUGCCAGCAGCCGCGGUAAUACGUAGGGAACAAGCGUUGUCCGGAUUUACUGGGCGUAAAGGGCACGCAGGCGGUUUUUUAAGUCAGAUGUGAAAGGUACCGGCUCAACCGGUGACAUGCAUUUGAAACUGAAAGACUUGAGGAUUGGAGAGGCAAGUGGAAUUCUUAGUGUAGCGGUGAAAUGCGUAGAGAUUAGGAGGAACACCAGUGGCGAAGGCGGCUUGCUGGACAAAUACUGACGCUGAGGUGCGAAAGCUUGGGGAGCAAACA
rnacentral:rRNA from 1 species